GGGGAAUCUUGCACAAUGGGGGAAACCCUGAUGCAGCGACGCCGCGUGAGCGAUGAAGCCCUUCGGGGUGUAAAGCUCUUUCGACAGGAACGAUUAUGACGGUACCUGGAGAAGAAGCUGCGGCUAACUACGUGCCAGCAGCCGCGGUAAUACGUAGGCAGCAAGCGUUGUUCGGAAUUACUGGGCGUAAAGAGUGUGUAGGCGGUUUCGUAAGUUCGGUGUGAAAUCUCCCGGCUUAACUGGGAGGGUGCGCCGAAUACUGCGGAGCUUGAGUGUCGGAGAGGAAAGCGGAAUUCCUGGUGUAGCGGUGAAAUGCGUAGAUAUCAGGAGGAACACCGGCGGUGUAGACGGCUUUCUGGACGACCACUGACGCUGAGACACGAAAGCGUGGGGAGCAAAC
rnacentral:rRNA from 1 species